AAAAAAAUAAGCUAAUAAAGCUCUUAGGUUCAUACCCUAAAUAUAAAGGUAAAAUCCUUUUUUUUUUA
rnacentral:tRNA from 1 species